GACGAACGCUGGCGGCGUGCUUAACACAUGCAAGUCGAGCGGUAAGGCCCUUUCGGGGGUACACGAGCGGCGAACGGGUGAGUAACACGUGGGUGACCUGCCCUCAGCUCUGGGAUAAGCCUGGGAAACUGGGUCUAAUACCGGAUAUGACUCCACGGCGCAUGUUGUGGGGUGGAAAGCCUUGUGUGGCUAGAGAUGGGCCCGCGGCCUAUCAGCUUGUUGGUGGGGNGAUGGCCUACCAAGGCGACGACGGGUAGCCGGCCUGAGAGGGCGACCGGCCACACUGGGACUGAGACACGGCCCAGACUCCUACGGGAGGGCAGCAGUGGGGAAUCUUGCGCAAUGGGCGAAAGCCUGACGCAGCGACGCCGCGUGA
rnacentral:rRNA from 1 species